AUGCCAUGAUGUAGACAUUUUCUUAGCAUUACUUUUAAUCUUUUCCAAGCCUGAUAAACAGUCUCAGUGCCAGUCUGCAAGAAAUUAGAAAUAUCUUGUCUUAGCUU